AGCGAACGCUGGCGGCAGGCUUCACACAUGCAAGUCGAACGCCAUCUUCGGAUGGAGUGGCAGACGGGUGAGUAACGCGUGGAAACAUACCUUUUGCUUCGGAAUAUUCCCGGGAAACUGGGAGCAAUACCGAAUACGCCCUGAGGGGGAAAGAUUUAUCGGCAAAAGAUUGGUCCGCGUUAGAUUAGGUAGUUGGUAGGGUAAUGGCCUACCAAGCCUACGAUCUAUAGAUGGUCUGAGAGGAUGAUCAGCCACAUUGGGGCUGAGAUACGGCCCACACUCCUACGGGAGGCAGCAGUAGGGAAUAUUGGACAAUGGGCGAAAGCCUGAUUCAGCCAUGCCGCGUGAAUGAUGAAGGCCUUAGGGUUGUAAAAUUCUUUCACCGGGGACGAUAAUGACGGUACCCGGAGAAGAAGCCCCGUCUAACUUCGUGCCAGCCGCCGCGGUAA
rnacentral:rRNA from 1 species